UUUUGAGGAAACAAUCGUCUGGUACUACAUCAUGCAGAGUGGAAGAGCUCUAUUUUGCCAGUCUUGUAAUACGUUCUUGGCAGACGUAUACUUCAGCUGCUUUCAAUGUUUCUGUCUUGAUGAGUCACCUAGCACCUAUGAUCUUUGUUGUGAUUGUUAUGGUGGAAAAAGGUUCACUCACCACGAUGAUGCCGUCUUCUGGGAUAACUAUACUUUACUAAGUCAAAGCAGGAGCUUGGCACUUGAAGCUCCCGUACAGAAGCGAAGAAAUGUUCUUAAAAAAAUUGGAAUGAUAGUGCAAGUUACAGGCAUAGUUGUUGGUGGUGCUUGCCUUGCGUCAUCCUCUAGCUGCAGCAUUAUGUGAAUGAACGAAUGAUGCAUUUUAUUAUUAUUGAUGAAGUAAUGAAAAACUUUAGACUAGAACCGCUUGGCUAUGGAAGACUAUUAUUGAUGAAGUAAUGAAAAACUUUAGACUAGACGGAGCUUUUCAUGGGCUGCGAUCUUCAGCUAUUGAAGUGACCGACUUCAGCACUAGUCCACGAGCUAUUCAUGCAAAACAAGAUUCCUAUCAAAACAUGGGAUAGUAAAGAAUGUUGGAAAGUAUAUUUAUGUAUUCUAUCUUAACUUAAUUAUGAGAUUGUUGAAUGAUUAUUUAUGAUUAUUCAAUUUGUUGUACCAUUUCUUUGAUUUCUAGAAUUAUUAUAUGGUUACUAGUGGU